rnacentral:rRNA from 1 species
GUAGUCUGCAACUCGACUACAUGAAGCUGGAAUCGCUAGUAAUCGCGAAUCAGAAUGUCGCGGUGAAUACGUUCCCGGGUCUUGUACACACCGCCCGUCACACCAUGGGAGUCAGUAACGCCCGAAGCCGGUGACCCAAACCAAACGGAGGGAGCCGUCGAAGGUGGGACCGAUAACUGGGGUGAAGUCGUAACAAGGUAAC